rnacentral:rRNA from 1 species
CUCCCUGAUGUUAGCGGCGGACGGGUGAGUAACACGUGGGUAACCUGCCUGUAAGACUGGGAUAACUCCGGGAAACCGGGGCUAAUACCGGAUGGUUGUUUGAACCGCAGGGUUCAAACAUAAAAGGUGGCUUCGGCUACCACUUACAGAUGGACCCGCGGCGCAUUAGCUAGUUGGUGAGGUAACGGCUCACCAAGGCAACGAUGCGUAGCCGACCUGAGAGGGUGAUCGGCCACACUGGGACUGAGACACGGCCCAGACUCCUACGGGAGGCAGCAGUAGGGAAUCUUCCGCAAUGGACGAAAGUCUGACGGAGCAACGCCGCGUGAGUGAUGAAGGUUUUCGGAUCGUAAAGCUCUGUUGUUAGGGAAGAACAAGUACCGUUCGAAUAGGGCGGUACCUUGACGGUACCUAACCAGAAAGCCACGGCUAACUACGUGCCAGCAGCCGCGGUAAUACGUAGGUGGCAAGCGUUGUCCGGAAUUAUUGGGCGUAAAGGGCUCGCAGGCGGUUUCUUAAGUCUGAUGUGAAAGCCCCCGGCUCAACCGGGGAGGGUCAUUGGAAACUGGGGAACUUGAGUGCAGAAGAGGAGAGUGGAAUUCCACGUGUAGCGUUGAAAUGCGUAGAGAUGUGGAGGAACACCAGUGGCGAAGGCGACUCUCUGGUCUGUAACUGACGCUAAGGAGCGAAAGCGUGGGAGCGAACAGGAUUAGAUACCCUGGUAGUCCACGCCGUAACGAUGAGUGCUAAGUGUUAGGGGGUUUCCGCCCCUUAGUGCUGCAGCUAACGCAUUAAGCACUCCGCCUGGGGAGUACGGUCGCAAGACUGAAACUCAAAGGAAUUGACGGGGGCCCGCACAACCGGUGGAGCAUGUGGUUUAAUUCGAAGCAACGCGAAGAACCUUACCAGGUCUUGACAUCCUCUGACAAUCCUAGAGAUAGGACGUCCCCUUCCGGGGCAGAGUGACAGGUGGUGCAGGGUUGUCCGUCAGCUCAAGGCAGGAAAUGUUGGGUUAAGUCCCGCAACCAACCGCAACCCUUGGAUCUUAGUUUGCCAGCAUUCAGUUGGGGCACUCUUAAGGUGACUGCCGGGGACGAACCCGUAGAAGUGUUGGGAUGACUUCGAAUCAUCCGAGCCCCUUAAGAACCUU